rnacentral:misc_RNA from 1 species
ACAACCUCAGCCAAGUUUUUUGUCGCUUCUGGCGCGGAAAGCAACAGCUGGAUUUGAGCAAAGUCCCUUGGGAUUUCAAUUCGACGACCUUCGGGGAGGCAAUUGAGCCGUGAGGGAUGCUUGAAAUACAGGUUCGGGCUGACCAACUGUCCUGGGCUACAAGCAUUUCAUACUUGAUCCCGUUAAACGGAUCAUUUCCAUUGCUGCAGCCAUCACAAACAGGAUCAAACGUGUCCAGUGUUUCCGACUGAUGCAGGAAGUUGGAGCCAACACAGAGCGAUCUGUGUAGGUUCUUUCUAAC